UACGGAGGAUGCAAGCGUUAUCCGGAAUGAUUGGGCGUAAAGCGUCCGCAGGUGGCAGUGUAAGUCUGCUGUCAAAGGUCAGGGCUUAACUCUGAACAGGCAGUGGAAACUACACAGCUAGAGUGCGGUGGGGGCAGAGGGAAUUCCCAGUGUAGCGGUGAAAUGCGUAGAGAUUGGGAAGAACACCGGUGGCGAAAGCGCUCUGCUAGGCCGUAACUGACACUCAUGGACGAAAGCUAGGGGAGCGAAUGGG
rnacentral:rRNA from 2 species